GGGGAUAUGGUGUAGGGGUAUCACGUCUGCUUUGCAUUGGUUCCUUUGUGGACGACGGCAUCUGCAGAAGGCCCGGGGUUCAAAUCCCCGUGUCUCCA
rnacentral:tRNA from 2 species